rnacentral:lncRNA from 1 species
GCAAUAGGUGGCUUCAAGAUCAUCCUUUUGCAUUACUUUUUGCACUUAUCUUCCAAUAGGAUAAAGGUAUUUGCACUUAUGGAUUCAAAUACCAUUCUCAUUUCCUUAUUUUAAGGAAACAAACUUGUUUAGUAUUUAUAGAAUUCAUUCCAUAACCAAUAACUCGUAGUUGUGUCCACGCCUAUAAAUACUAGCCUUGAGAUACAAUUGUAUUCAUGCGUCCCUGAUAGAUGACCCAAGCAGACUCGGAAGUUGGCUUCUCUUAAGUGCUUUCAGUUCAUUACAUAGUGCUCUCGUGAAUUUGCGUGGAAUUUUACGAGUUUAAUCUUCUUGUACAUAUAAAUAUUUGAAUUCAUACUGAUUUUCUCCUCUUUUAUUUUGUGCAUCAAGCAGGUGACACCUUAAAGAUUUAAUUCAUCUGUCCUUGACAGGUGAAGUUCUUUCCCUUUCUUGUACAUUCUUCUACUUUUCAUUUCUUUUUCAAGGCUCAAAUGGAGUCGAUUCUGAUACAAACAUUAGUUUUAAAGUGGUACCAAAAGUUUACUUCGUUCAGAUAGAAGACUUUACCUUAUUCUGUUCAAGCGAAGAUUUUUUUUAUUACUUUAGAGCCGAAGGCUUUACUUUAGCUCGACCAAUGAGAAGGCUUUGCAUUGUUCGGAGUGAAGAUCAUUACGGUGUCUAAUCUGAAGAUUUUAUGUUGUUCGAUCCAAGGACCAUUACACCAUCUAAGCCAAAGAUUUUACCUUAGAUGAGGCAAAGAUCAUUAUAUCAUCUAAACCAAAGACUUUACUUUAUAUGAGGCUUAGACCGAUAUAUCGUCUAAGUCAAAUAUUUUACUUUGCCCGACGCGAAUAUCAUUACACCAUCUAAGCCGAACUUUAUUUUGUUCGAGGCGAAGAUCAUUACACCGCCUAAACCAAAGAUCUUUUUUUUUGUUGAAGAUUUGACUUUACUUUAUCUGAGGCGAAAACCAUUACACCGUCUGAGCCAAAAAUUUUACUUUGUCUGAGGUGAAGAUCAUUACACCGUUUGAGCCAAAAAAUUUAUUUUGUCUGAAGCAAAGGCCAUUACACCGUCUAAGCUAAAGACUUUAUCUUGUUUGAAGAUUUAACUUUAUUUUAUCUAAGGCAUAGACCAUUACAACGUCUAAGCCAAAGAUUUUACUUUAUUUGAAGUGAAGAUCAUUACACCAUCUGAGCCAAAAAUUUAUUAUGUAUGAGGUGAAAACCAUUAUACCGUCUGAGCUAAAAAUCUUACUUUAUUUAUAAAUUUGACUUUUCUUCAUCUGAGGCGAAGACCAUUACACCGUCUGAGCCAAAGAUUUUACUUUGUCUGAGGUGAAGAUCAUUACACCGUCAGAGACAAAAAUUUACUUUGUCUGAGAUAAAGACCAUUACACCGUCUGAGCCAAAGACUUUACUUUAUAUGAAGCAAAGUCUAUUACACCGGCUAAGUUGAAGACUAUAUUUUGCAAAGGUGAAGACAACCAUCUAAGCUGAAGACUUUACUUUGUCCGAGGUUAAGACCAUUACACUGUCUAAAUUGAAGACUAUAUUGUAUCCAAGACGAAGACCAGCGAAGAUCAUUAUAGAGUCUAACAUGCAUAUUUUACUUUACUACCAAACGAUUUGACUUUUUGGUGCAAAGGAACAAAAAUUCGUCCUUAUUUCGAGAUGCAUGAAUCAGAGAUUGUAUGAAGCGUGAAAAAAAAGUUGACCACCAAGAAUAUCUCUUUAAUUUCAAUCUUCACAGAUAAUUUUAUGAUCUCCUUUAUAUAGAUAUAUUUCUCCCUUCUUCUUUUUUUUGCAGGUAAAAGAAGAUCUCAUCUGAAGAUACUACUUUAGUAAAGAUAACCUCCCAGUCGAAGAAUAUUUUUUUCUGCAACAUAAAUCAAGUCAUGCAAGGCAACAUUUUAAAUACUUUCAGUUGAAGAUUUGAAGAUAUAUUAAAACCUUCCUUCAAAUAAUUCAAGAUAUAAAUAUUUAAAGAUGGUGCAGACUAUAUCAAAGGCUUUUACCAUACACUUGAAGAUAUACUGAAACUUCCAACUAAAGAAUUGAAGGCUAUAUCAAUUUGAAAACUUCAAGGUUAUUAUUAUGAGGGCUUCUUAUUGGCUUUCAAUUGAAGACUUGGUGCUCAAAAGAAUUUAACUUGCAGAUUUUAACUUGAAGGCAUGGCAGACUUGAAGGCUUCUACUUGACGACUUGACAAAUUUGAAGACUUCGACUUGAAGACUUAGUGGAUUUGAAGAUUUUAACUUAAUGAUUCAACUUGAAAAUUUUACAGAAUUGAAGGCUUCAACUUUUGGCGAAUUCGAAGGCCUCAACUUGACUUGGUGAAUUUGAAGACUUUAACUUGAUGACUCAAUUUGAGGACUUCCCAAAAUUGAAGACUUUAACUUGAAAAUUUGCCGAAUUCGAAGGUCUCAUCAUCACUUAGCAGAUUUGAAAAAUCGAGAAGACUUGGUGGAUUUGAAGACUUAAACUCAAAGAUUUAGGUAGAUUUUAAGAAUUAAACUUGAAGGUUAAAGUAUACGAGUUAAACUUGAAGAUGUAGUCACUUUGAAGAAUUCAACUUGAAGACGUGGCAAACUAGGAUAGUUGAAGACUUAGCGGAGUAGAAGAAUUUAACUCAACUUCAACUUGAAGAUUUAGCAUGCCAGAGACUUCAAAUCAAUGAUAUAGAAAAUAUGAAGAAUUCAACUUGACGACUUAGCAAACUUGAAGAAUUCAGGUCAAAGACAUUACGGUCUUGAAAAUUUUGCAGCCUGCUAAAGACUAUAAUUGUCUCGAAGAUACCAAUCCUGGUGAAGAGGAUCAAGUCAUUAAGCAGUUUAUAACAAGUGAGUUUUUUUAUACUUUAUGGAUUUGAAGACUUGGCGGACUUGAAUACUACAACUUUAAUACCUAGCGGGCUUGAAUACUUCAAAUUGAUGAUGUAAUGGACUUGACAAAAUCAACUUGACUUAGAAUUGGAGCAUUCAACUUGAAUAUUUAGCCUCUUAUUAAAGAAACUACAAUCAUUCCAUCAAAGACCUCAAUUUGACAUGGAGGACUUGCCCCCAUUGAGCCAUCAAAAUAAGACAGAGAGUUCAACAAAAGAAUAUAUUUACACCUAAUUUUCAAGUGUCAAUAAAAUGAAUUAUAUUCCAUCAUACCUCAUUUGAAUAAAACCUUGGGUAAUAUGUAUUUUUGAACUCAUAUGACUGAACUUAGAAUGAAACUCUAAGCUGCCUACAUACCUCGGUGAAAAGGAUCAAGUCAUACCAUAGUUCGAAAUGGGUGAGUUUUUUUUCUUUUUUUGCAUGUCUUAACUUUUACCUAGGCCGCCUCUUUUGAGGUUUUCAACCCAGCAGUCUUUUUUUUU